UACGGGGGGGGUAAGCGUUGUUCGGAAUCACUGGGCUUAAAGGGCGCGUAGGCGGGCUGUCAAGUCUGGGGUGAAAUCCCACGGCUCAACCGUGGAACUGCUGGGUAUACUGGCGGUCUUGAGCCACCUAGGGGCAACUGGAACAAGCGGUGGAGCGGUGAAAUGCGUAGAUAUCGCUUGGAACGCCAACGGUGGAAACAAGGUUGCUGGGGGUGUGGCUGACGCUGAGACACGAAAGCCAGGGGAGCCGGAAGUGGGAAU
rnacentral:rRNA from 1 species